ACGGGUGAGUAACGCGUGGGAAUCUACCCAUCUCUACGGAAUAACGCAUGGAAACGUGUGCUAAUACCGUAUACGUCCUUCGGGAGAAAGAUUUAUCGGAGAUGGAUGAGCCCGCGUUGGAUUAGCUAGUUGGUGGGGUAAAGGCCUACCAAGGCGACGAUCCAUAGCUGGUCUGAGAGGAUGAUCAGCCACACUGGGACUGAGACACGGCCCAGACUCCUACGGGAGGCAGCAGUGGGGAAUAUUGGACAAUGGGCGCAAGCCUGAUCCAGCCAUGCCGCGUGAGUGAUGAAGGCCCUAGGGUUGUAAAGCUCUUUCGCCGGUGAAGAUAAUGACGGUAACCGGAGAAGAAGCCCCGGCUAACUUCGUGCCAGCAGCCGCGGUAAUACGAAGGGGGCUAGCGUUGUUCGGAUUUACUGGGCGUAAAGCGCACGUAGGCGGACUAUUAAGUCAGGGGUGAAAUCCCGGGGCUCAACCCCGGAACUGCCUUUGAUACUGGUAGUCUUGAGUUCGAGAGAGGUGAGUGGAAUUCCGAGUGUAGAGGUGAAAUUCGUAGA
rnacentral:rRNA from 1 species